UUUUCAUCAUAUGCAGGAGGAAAACCAAAGAAACAGAAGAUAAGCAGAAUGAAUCAAAUGUUCAGCAGCUGAUGCUCCACAAUGGUGAGUCAGAGAACAACGUGACCUACGCCUCUAUUGAUCACUCUGGAAAGACUUUUGCUAAGAAAA